UGCACAUUUCAAGCAAUGAAGUGAUGUAAAGUUGUUUUUUUAAUUUUACAGGUUGAGUCCAGUACAACUCUACUGCUGGCUACUAGAGUGUCUUUGUGGAGCUCUUCUGCUAACUACUCCAGUCUCCGGAAUGGCUCCUCCAAACUCCCUCUGAGAACUGUUGUUGCAAAACAGAAGAGGAGUGAUUAGGAAUGCUACUAUUGAAGAGAUCGAAGCGGAGAAAUCUUUGAUUGAGGAAGAUGCUCACAAGUAUGCCCAGUAUUUGGUGGCUGUUAUUGGUCUUUAAGACUCUACCUGU